rnacentral:rRNA from 1 species
UGGUGCCUAGAGUGGCGAACGGGUGAGUAACACGUAGGUGAUCUACCUCUGGAUGGGGGAUAGCCCGUGGAAACACGGGGUAAUACCGCAUGAGGCCUUGGGGGUAAAGCCCUGAGGUGAAAGGUGCAAUUGCACCGUCUGGGGAUGAGCCUGCGGUCCAUUAGUUAGUUGCCGGGGUAAAGGCCCACCAAGACUCCGAUGGAUAGCCGGCCUGAGAGGGUGUACGGCCACACUGGAACUGAGACACGGUCCAGACUCCUACGGGAGGCAGCAGCUAAGAAUCUUCCGCAAUGGGGGAAACCCUGACGGAGCGACGCCGCGUGGAUGAUGAAGGCCGUAAGGUUGUAAAAUCCUUUUGUCGGUGAAGAAUAAGGAGGGGAGUGGAAAGCCUCUCUGAUGACGUUAGCCGACGAAUAAGCCCCGGCUAAUUACGUGCCAGCAGCCGCGGUAAUACGUAUGGGGCAAGCGUUGUUCGGAGUUAUUGGGCGUAAAGGGCGUGUAGGCGGCUCAUGAAGUCUGGUGUGAAAUCGCAAGGCUCAACCUUGCAUAUGCGCUGGAAACUGGUGGGCUUGAGUUCUUGAGGGGAAGCUGGAAUUCCAGGUGUAGGGGUGAAAUCUGUAGAUAUCUGGAAGAACACCGGUGGCGAAGGCGAGCUUCUAUCAGAGGCCUGACGCUGAGGCGCGAAAGCGUGGGGAGCAAACAGGAUUAGAUACCCUGGUAGUCCACGCUGUAAACGAUGUGCACUAGGCGUGGGGCACGUACGUGCUCUGUGCCGUAGCUAACGUGUUAAGUGCACCGCCUGGGGAGUAUGCUCGCAAGGGUGAAACUCAAAGGAAUUGACGGGGGCCCGCACAAGCGGUGGAGCAUGUGGUUUAAUUCGAUGUACACGAGGAACCUUACCAGGGCUUGACAUGUGCGUGAAUGUUCACGAGAGUGGGCAGCCCCGCAAGGGGCGCGCACACAGGUGCUGCAUGGCUGUCGUCAGCUCGUGUCGUGAGAUGUUGGGUUAAGUCCCGCAACGAGCGCAACCCUUACCGUCUGUUGCCAACAGGUUGUGCUGGGCACUCGGACGGAACUGCCGGUGACAAACCGGAGGAAGGUGGGGAUGACGUCAAGUCAUCAUGGCCCUUAUGUCCUGGGCUACACACGUGCUACAAUGGUCGGUACAAAGCGAAGCGAAACGGCGACGUGAAGCAAAUCGCAGAAAGCCGG